AUUGAACGCUGGCGGCAUGCCUUACACAUGCAAGUCGAACGGCAGCAUGGAGAGCUUGCUCUCUGAUGGCGAGUGGCGAACGGGUGAGUAAAGCAUCGGAACGUACCGUGUAAUGGGGGAUAACGUAGCGAAAGUUACGCUAAUACCGCAUACGACCUGAGGGUGAAAGCAGGGGAUCGCAAGACCUUGCGUUAUACGAGCGGCCGAUGUCAGAUUAGCUAGUUGGUAGGGUAAAGGCCUACCAAGGCGACGAUCUGUAGCGGGUCUGAGAGGAUGAUCCGCCACACUGGGACUGAGACACGGCCCAGACUCCUACGGGAGGCAGCAGUGGGGAAUUUUGGACAAUGGGGGCAACCCUGAUCCAGCCAUGCCGCGUGAGUGAAGAAGGCCUUCGGGUUGUAAAGCACUUUUAUCAGGAACGAAAAGCGUUGGAUUAAUACUCUGACGUGCUGACGGUACCUGAGGAAUAAGCACCGGCUAACUUCGUG
rnacentral:rRNA from 1 species